CCUACGGGUGGCAGCAGUGAGGAAUAUUGGUCAAUGGACGGAAGUCUGAACCAGCCAUGCCGCGUGCAGGAAGACGGCUCUAUGAGUUGUAAACUGCUUUUGUACAAGGGUAAACCUGAAUACGUGUAUUCAGCUGAAAGUACUGUACGAAUAAGGAUCGGCUAACUCCGUGCCAGCAGCCGCGGUAAUACGGAGGAUCCAAGCGUUAGCCGGAUUUAUUGGGUUUAAAGGGUGCGUAGGCGGAUUGAUAAGUUAGAGGUGAAAUGUGCGAGCUUAACUCGGGAACUGCCGCUACAACGGUUGGUCUAGAGAGCAGAUGGGGUGGGCGGAAUGUAUGGUGUAGCGGUGGAAUGCGUAGAGAUCAGGCAGAACACCGAUGGCGAAGGCAGGUUACCAAUCUAUAUCUGACGUUGAGGCACGAAAGCGUGGGGAGCAAACAGGAUUAGAUACCCCGGUAGUC
rnacentral:rRNA from 1 species